rnacentral:rRNA from 1 species
CCAAUGCGCGCAAGCGUGAGGAGGGGACCCCAAGUGCGCCGUCACAAACGGUGCUUUUACGGAGUGUAAAAAGCUCCGGGAAUAAGGACUGGGCAAGACUGGUGCCAGCCUCCGCGGUAACACCAGCAGUUCUAGUGGUAAUCGUGUUUACUGGGUUUAAAGCGUCCGUAGUCGGUUCAGCAAGUCUUCUGUGAAAUCCUGCAGCUCAACUGUAGGGCUUGCAGAGGAUACUACUGGUCUAGAGGCCGGGAGAGGGAGGAGGUAUUCUGGGGGUACCGGUGAAAUGGUAUAAUCCCUGGAAGACCACCAGUAGCGAAGGCGUCCUCCUGGAACGGGCCUGACGAUGAGGGACGAGAGCUAGGGGAGCAAACCGGAUUAGAUACCCGGGUAGUCCCAGCCGUAAACGAUGUUCGCUAGGUGUCAGGGACGGUGCGACCGUUUCUGGUGCCGUAGGGAAGCCGUGAAGCGAACCACCUGGGAAGUACGGCCACAAGAUUAAACUUUAG